rnacentral:rRNA from 1 species
GGGCCCGCACAAGCGGUGGAGCAUGUGGUUUAAUUCGAAGCAACGCGAAGAACCUUACCAGGUCUUGACAUCCCUCUGACCGUCCUAGAGAUAGAGCUUCCCCUUCGGGGGCAAAGUGACAGGUGGUGCAUGGUUGUCGUCAGCUCGUGUCGUGAGAUGUUGGGUUAAGUCCCGCAACGAGCGCAACCCUUAUUGUUAGUUGCCAUCAUUUAGUUGGGCACUCUAGCAAGACUGCCGGUGACAAACCGGAGGAAGGUGGGG